rnacentral:rRNA from 1 species
AGUGAACGCUGGCGGUAGGCCUAACACAUGCAAGUCGAACGGCAGCACAGUAAGAGCUUGCUCUUACGGGUGGCGAGUGGCGGACGGGUGAGGAAUACAUCGGAAUCUACUUUUUCGUGGGGGAUGACGUAGGGAAACUUACGCUAAUACCGCAUACGACCUACGGGUGAAAGCAGGGGAUCUUCGGACCUUGCGCGAUUGAAUGAGCCGAUGUCGGAUUAGCUAGUUGGCGGGGUAAAGGCCCACCAAGGCGACGAUCCGUAGCUGGUCUGAGAGGAUGAUCAGCCACACUGGAACUGAGACACGGUCCAGACUCCUACGGGAGGCAGCAGUGGGGAAUAUUGGACAAUGGGCGCAAGCCUGAUCCAGCCAUACCGCGUGGGUGAAGAAGGCCUUCGGGUUGUAAAGCCCUUUUGUUGGGAAAGAAAAGCAGCAGGUUAAUAUCCCGCUGUUCUGACGGUACCCAAAGAAUAAGCACCGGCUAACUUCGUG